CCGUUCUCAACGGGGUGCUUCAUUUGAGGCUGAGAGAAACCCGUAGAACCUGAUCUGAUUAAUCACAGCGUAGGGAUUUGAGAAAGCGAGUAAA
rnacentral:ncRNA from 2 species